rnacentral:rRNA from 1 species
AUACGACCGUACCGCAAACCGACACUGGUGCGCGAGAUGAGUAUUCUAAGGCGCUUGAGAGAACUCAGGAGAAGGAACUCGGCAAAUUGACACCGUAACUUCGGAAGAAGGUGUGCCCUAUUAGUGUGUAGUGAACAACGAAGCAUGAAUGGGUUGCAAAAAAUCGGUGGCUGCGACUGUUUAUUAAAAACACAGCACUCUGCAAACACGAAAGUGGACGUAUAGGGUGUGACGCCUGCCCGGUGCUGGAAGAUUAAAUGAUGGGGUGCAAGCUCUUGAUUGAAGUCCCAGUAAACGGCGGCCGUAACAAUAACGGUCCUAAGGUAGCGAAAUUCCUUGUCGGGUAAGUUCCGACCUGCACGAAUGGCGUAACGAUGGCCACACUGUCUCCUCCUGAGACUCAGCGAAGUUGAAAUGUUUGUGAUGAUGCAAUCUCCCCGCGGAAAGACGGAAAGACCCCAUGAACCUUUACUGUAGCUUUGUAUUGGACUUUGAACAGAUCUGUGUAGGAUAGGUGGGAGGCUUUGAAGCAGGGUCGCUAGAUCUUGUGGAGCCAACGUUGAAAUACCACCCUGGUGUGUUUGAGGUUCUAACCUAGGUCCAUUAUCUGGAUCGGGGACAGUGCAUGGUAGGCAGUUUGACUGGGGCGGUCUCCUCCCAAAGCGUAACGGAGGAGUUCGAAGGUACGCUAGUUACGGUCGGACAUCGUGACGAUAGUGCAAUGGCAUAAGCGUGCUUAACUGCGAGACUGACAAGUCGAGCAGAUGCGAAAGCAGGACAUAGUGAUCCGGUGGUUCUGUAUGGAAGGGCCAUCGCUCAACGGAUAAAAGGUACUCUGGGGAUAACAGGCUGAUACCGCCCAAGAGUUCAUAUCGACGGCGGUGUUUGGCACCUCGAUGUCGGCUCAUCUCAUCCUGGGGCUGUAGCCGGUCCCAAGGGUAUGGCUGUUCGCCAUUUAAAGAGGUACGUGAGCUGGGUUUAAGACGUCGUGAGACAGUUUGGUCCCUAUCUUCCGUGGGCGCUGCAGAUUUGAGGAAGCCUGCUCCUAGUACGAGAGGACCGGAGUGGACACACCUCUGGUGUAUCGGUUGUCACGCCAGUGGCAUUGCCGAGUAGCUAAGUGUGGAAGAGAUAACCGCUGAAAGCAUCUAAGCGGGAAACUCGUUUCAAGAUGAGAUCUGCCGGGGCCUUGAGCCCCCUAAAGAGUCGUUCAAGACCAGGACGUUGAUAGGUCAGGUGUGGAAGCGU